GGCUUAAUUUUUUGUGUUUAUUAACAAAUUUUUGUGUUGAACCAUCGUCAGUUUGUGACGAGAAUGAGACUAAUCAUCUUGACAAAAUAACGUCAUUAUAAAUAUUAUCUAAAUAAUAAAUCAAUUAUUUACAAUAAACAAUUGUUUUUAUUUAAUAUGGAAAAUCCAAUUCCUCAAAUAAUGGAAAGCAGUGAGAGCGAAUAUAAAAAACCAAAAGAUAGGUUAGUUAAUUUACUUGAUCAAAUUGAAUUAAGAGUUGAACAAUUAAGACGUGAUGCACUUAGACUUGAAGAAGAAAAAGAUACAAUGUUAACAACCCUUGAUACACUAAGAACAAAUGAAAUUUUAACAUUUUUGGAAGAAGCUGACAAAGAUGAUGUUUUACGAUAUGCUGAUCGUCUCUCGAUGAGAACUUUGACUGUUGAUGUACUUGUCAAGGUACAGCGUGAUCUGGUUCAACAAGAAGCUCUUCAUCAGGUAAAUGGUUUGAUUGAUAGUCUUGUCAUCAGCUUGAAGAGUGAUCCAUGCUCAACAAGAAAUCGUUGUGCUGCAUUUAUGAGUGCCUGUUCAUCACAUGGAAAUGAUUAUUCUGAUAAAGUAUUUGAAACAGCUAUAUUAGGCUGUACCUUGGAUGAUCAAAAACGUGUUAAAAAACGUUUACAAGGUCUUCUUGAUUAUAUUGAUAAAGUUCAUACAUUCGAAAUGCAAUGAGAGUCAUUGUCAACUGAUGAUUGUGCGUGGGGUAUCAAAGCAUUUGACAGGAAGUGAAAGCCAAUGAUAUUUAUACACGACAUUUUAGUUCACGUGUGACAUCAAUCAUUGACCCAGAUUAAAACCAGCUAUUAAAUUCAAUUUUUCAAAAUACUGUUAAAUAAAAAAAGCAGCAACAAAAAACAGUCUAAUCAAUAUUAUCAACAG
rnacentral:misc_RNA from 1 species